rnacentral:rRNA from 1 species
AGACAUAGGGGGCAAGCGUUGUCCGGAAUUACUGGGCGUAAAGGGUGCGUAGGCGGCAUUACAAGUCUAAUGUGAAAUCCCCGUGCUUAACAUGGGGUUUGCAAUAGUAACUGUAAAGCUAGAGUGCAGGAGAGGUAAGUGGAAUUCCUAGUGUAGCGGUGAAAUGCAUAGAUAUUAGGAGGAACACCAGUGGCGAAGGCGGCUUACUGGACUGUAACCGACGUUGAGGCUCGAAAGCAUGGGGAGC